rfam:Picea glauca, whole genome shotgun sequence.
ACAUGCCUACAACAUAGCGUUAAUGCAUUAGAUUCCAUUAGAACUCCGUUGUUAAGCGCGUUAAGGCUAGAGUAGUACUGGGAUGGGUGACCGCCCGAGAAUUCCUAGUAUUUUACAUGCC